rnacentral:rRNA from 1 species
UACGUAGGGGGCAAGCGUUAUCCGGAUUUACUGGGUGUAAAGGGAGCGUAGACGGAAUUGCAAGUCUGAUGUGAAAAUCCGGGGCCCAACCCCGGAACUGCAUUGGAAACUGUAUUUCUAGAGUGUCGGAGAGGCAAGUGGAAUUCCUGGUGUAGCGGUGAAAUGCGUAGAGAUUAGGAAGAACACCAGUGGCGAAGGCGACUUACUGGACUGUAACUGACGCUGAGGCAUGAGAGCAUGGGGAGCAAACAGG